GCUUACGCCUAUACCACCCUGAACACGCCAGCUCUCGUCCGAUCUCGGAAGCUAAGCAAGGUCGGGCCUGGUUAGUACUUGGAUGGGAAACCACCUGGGAAUACCAGGUGCUGUAAGCU
rnacentral:rRNA from 1 species